GUGGGGAAUAUUGGACAAUGGGCGAAAGCCUGAUCCAGCCAUGCCGCGUGUGUGAAGAAGGUCUUCGGAUUGUAAAGCACUUUAAGUUGGGAGGAAGGGCAGUAAGUUAAUACCUUGCUGUUUUGACGUUACCGACAGAAUAAGCACCGGCUAACUUCGUGCCAGCAGCCGCGGUAAUACGAAGGGUGCAAGCGUUAAUCGGAAUUACUGGGCGUAAAGCGCGCGUAGGUGGUUCAGCAAGUUGGAGGUGAAAUCCCCGGGCUCAACCUGGGAACUGCCUCCAAAACUACUGGGCUAGAGUACGGUAGAGGGUAGUGGAAUUUCCUGUGUAGCGGUGAAAUGCGUAGAUAUAGGAAGGAACACCAGUGGCGAAGGCGACUACCUGGACUGAUACUGACACUGAGGUGCGAAAGCGUGGGGAGCAAACAGGAUUAGAAACCCGUGUAGUCC
rnacentral:rRNA from 1 species